rnacentral:rRNA from 1 species
UGGGGAAUUUUGGACAAUGGACGCAAGUCUGAUCCAGCCAUGCCGCGUGCGGGAAGAAGGCCUUCGGGUUGUAAACCGCUUUUGUCAGGGAAGAAACGAGUUUCUCUAAUACAGAGACUUAAUGACUGUACCUGAAGAAUAAGCACCGGCUAACUACGUGCCAGCAGCCGCGGUAAUACGUAUGGUGCAAGCGUUAAUCGGAAUUACUGGGCGUAAAGCGUGCGCAGGCUGUUAUGCAAGACAGAGGUGAAAUCCCCAGGCGCGACCUGGGAACUGACUUUGUGAAUGGAUAGCUAGAGUAAGGUAGAGGGGGAUGGAAUUCCGUGUGUAGCAGUGAAAUGCGUAGAUAUGCGGAGGAACAACGAUGACGAAGGCAAUCCCCUGGACCUGUACUGACGCUCAUGCACGAAAGAGUGAGGAGCAAACA